CACUUACCACCCAACAGAUAAAAUGAAGGAGAUGGGAAAGCUGCAAGGUUGAUCUCAAGUUGGCAGGAUAAAAUGAAGGAGCCAUCCUGUCAUCCAUUUACGACCAUUCAGGUUGAUGAAGAAGAUAAGGAGGUUAUAGAUGAUGAUGAUUCAAAACUGCAACGACUGCGGAUUGAUUAUGGCGAUAGCGUCUGCUAUGCGGUGAAGGUUGCGAGCUUAAUGAGAAUAGCCCUUACGGAUUGCAUGUCAUCAAUGAGCUAUGGAACUUCAGGGAAGGGCGGAAGGCAACAACUGCGGAAGUGGUCACGUGCAUUUUGUAGCAGCUGACACUGGUGGAUCUGGGUUUUUGAGGAUGGGAAUUUGAAGUUCCCCCAAAAAGUAUUCAACUUCAAUAUAACCAGCUAGUUACUGCUAUUUUUUGGUAUCAUUUGAUGACAAUGAGAUACAUGCUUGAAGUGAAGAAAAGGUAACGAGGAAAGCUAACGUACAGCAUAGGAGAAGCUGAACAAUGGAAUAAAUAAUGCAACUAUGCAGCAGGGGCGGGCCCAAGAUUCUGACCCGCAGCGCACAUGUGAAACCGCGGGAUGGCGGAAGCAACGAAUGAGAGAGCAGCGGUCAACCCAAAGACAGGGACACUGAGGAGCAGAGUAAAGGAGGAGGUAGGAGCAAUCGCUAGGUUUUUAGAAUUAGAGACAUGUCUGUUUGGGGAUUUAGAAGGAGGCGAGGAGAUGCGAGGUGUAGAUUGACAUCAAUAAAGGUCAUACGAGACUACAUGUAUCGAGCAUAUAGUUCGGUUUUCAACGACCCAAAAUCCUAUUUGGAGCAUUGGUCCGACUUGGAGGAAGGAGAGAGAUGGACUAGUCCAUUUUUACACUCAAUGCUGGAAUACCCUUGAGUUUAGUCCCAAAAUCUUAUUUACAUGCAUACAUACAGAAUACAUAGUGUACAUAUUUAUUUUUUUGCAAAAUUUGAUGGGUAUUCAGUUGAAUACCCUUGAAUAAAGCUGGGCCCGCCCAUGCUGUGCAGCA